AUGAGUCACUGUUCUUCCUUUCAUACCCCCCCCCCAUUCGGCCUCUGCACAUACUCAAAUGGCUGGCAAUCAGAAAGACGGGCUUUGUUUCUCAUUCACGACAGCUCUUUCUCCACAAAGUGUAGGAGAGAGCCACAGGGGUCAACCAUGAUAAAAUGAAACCUAAAACCUUUAGCCACAUAUUCUUUGAGUGCAGCUUCUAAGUGAGGCAGAAAACCCAACGACCUCCUCAUGUCAGUCAUGUUCUAUGACCAUGACAAGCACUAAGAAAGCAGUCUGGAAGGACUUGUUUGGGCUGACACUCAAAGGGUUCGAUCCUCUGUUGCUUGGCUCUGCUGGUUCUGGGCUGUGGUGAGGCAGAGCAGCAUACAGUAAAAUAGAUCUGCUCACCCUGCUGCAGCCAGGAAGCAGCGAGCAGUAUCAGGAAAGGGCCAAGGAGAAUGCAGACCUUUCGAAGACAACAACCCACAUUUGUCACCUUAGCCUCAGCUCUGCAGGUCCACUGCCUCCUGUUAGUCUAUUCAAACUCUGAAUCUAUUAUGGAUUUAACCAUCAAUUAGGUCAAAUCAUCUCUGGAAAGGUCCUCACAGAUGUGCCCAGAGGUGUGCUUCACCAGUAUCCUAGGAGUCUCUGAAUCCGGUCAAGGUGACAGUCAAGAUCAACCAUCUGCAUUCAUACUCAGGACCACUAACUGUCAAUCCAGCCCUGCCACAUUCCAUGCCUGAGCACUGAUCCAACAGCUUGAAAACAGUGCUGAGUUGUUCCGUUUUACGGAGAGGAACAUGCACAACAAAGAGGGGUUGAGGAACAUUCCUAGAACCCUGUGUCCAUGAAGUUUCGGAGCCAGAAUCCAGAGCUGGAGGUGGGAGCCCAAAGUCUGGAACACCAGAUCCUCAGACUGGAGUGCUGGUAAACUUGGCAGGCAGUACGAGGGCCGCCAUGUUGUCUGGUAGGCCUUUCCACUCCGUGAAUGCAGCUGCCCCUAGGGAGACAUCCACGGUGAAACAGACUCUCCUACUCUAUUCUCUCAAAGAUCUGAGCACCGUGCCUAUGCAGUUUAUGAGGAAUAUUGCUUGGUUUGGGUCAUGGUUCUGAAGAUGUUCAACAGUGUGGUGCCCUCAUGUGUUUCCUAUCUGGUAAGCACCUUGUCCUACGUCAC
rnacentral:lncRNA from 1 species